AGUGAACGCUGGCGGUAGGCCUAACACAUGCAAGUCGAACGGCAGCACAGUAAGAGCUUGCUCUUACGGGUGGCGAGUGGCGGACGGGUGAGGAAUACAUCGGAAUCUACUUUUUCGUGGGGGAUAACGUAGGGAAACUUACGCUAAUACCGCAUACGACCUACGGGUGAAAGUAGGGGAUCUUCGGACCUUGCGCGAUUGAAUGAGCCGAUGGCGGAUUAGCUAGUUGGCGGGGUAAAGGCCCACCAAGGCGACGAUCCGUAGCUGGUCUGAGAGGAUGAUCAGCCACACUGGAACUGAGACACGGUCCAGACUCCUACGGGAGGCAGCAGUGGGGAAUAUUGGACAAUGGGCGCAAGCCUGAUCCAGCCAUACCGCGUGGGUGAAGAAGGCCUUCGGGUUGUAAAGCCCUUUUGUUGGGAAAGAAAAGCAGCAGGUUAAUACCCCGCUGUUCUGACGGUACCCAAAGAAUAAGCACCGGCUAACUUCGUG
rnacentral:rRNA from 1 species